UGAGACCGUCAUAACUACAAGUUCACCGACAUCCCAUUGAAACGUGUGUUAAACUUAAUACACACAUUUCAAUGGGAUGUCGUUGGACUUGUACUUAUGACGGUUUCAUGAAACGCUGCCCAGAUCCCCGACACCGAACACCUGGGGAGGUUUCACGAAACCGUCAUUAAGUCUAACUUUUUAGACAUCGUAUUGAAACGUGUGAUAGAGAUCUAACACGUGUUUCUACCAAAUCUCCACGAGCUUAGACUUAUGGCAGUUUCGAGAAACUAGCACUCGCUCUGAAUCUGGCGCAUCCACGGCCACGCUGGAAGCUCGGAUCUGACCGCCUGCGAUGCAUGCCCCGGACGCGACGGCAGCCCGCUCUCGAGCUAACUCUCCAUCGCAUCGUGCAGCUGUCUUUCUUCUCUUUCACGAACACGGUUGCCCGACUGAAACAACUAGACCACAUUAGUAUCCUGACAUCAAGAUAGGUCUCUAUUAUGUGCCCAUCCGUCUGAUUAAGUCUUCUUUGGAGCAAACUGUCAGACAUUUGCGGUAGUAUACAGCUGAAAUGGAAUUUCCGUUCAACCAAACAGUAUACUUCAAGGCUAUUUCUCAGCGACGAGGGUUAGCUCCAGGUAGCAGUAGCAGGCUGGAAGUAACACACAUGUGCAGUGUUUCAGUCGAAAACGAAUACCACCCAUUCAAAAUCGGUUAUAGGAUCUUGUCCAUAUGUCCAUAUUUUUGUAUGCAUGUGAAACAUGGACCAUGACAGCAGACAUUAAAAGAAGGAUACAGGCACUGGAGAUGAAAUGUUUCCGCAAACUCCUCAGUAUCUGGUAUAGAGAUCACAUAACCAACGAGGUAGUGAAAAUCAGAAUUGGAAACACCAUAGGGCCGUAUGAAGACCUCCUGACUUCAGUGAAAAGAUGCAAAGUAAAGUGGUAUGGGUAUGUCACAUGAUCAUUUGGACUGGCCAAGACUAUUCUACAUGGAACAGUACAAGGAGGGAGACGAAAAGGCAGGCAGAGGAAACGAUGGGAAGACAACAUUAACGAGUGACCUUGACUGAAACAUCAUACUUCGUAAAGCCAAGAACCACGAGGAGUGGAGGAAGCUGGUAGUAUAAAUCUUCAGUGGUGCCCCAAGGGUCAGCCAGACUGUGGGAUAGGUGAAGGUGAAGGUGAAGGAAGCUAAGAAUCAGAUAGUUAGACAUUAUAUUGGAUCAUUUAUCCUUUCCUUCAAAAGGAAUGUUGCUUUAUACUGUAGCACAUAAACAAUGCUUUUUAAUUGGCAAUAUUUCAGUUCAGUACGCUUGUUAUUAAUUUCAUCAAACAUUAAAAUGUAAAAGGGAGAAACACUGUCAUUUGAAAAUCAAAAUGUAAGUCAUAAAAAUUUCACUGUCUAACUAUCUGAAUCUUGUCAGGAUCCAUGUACGAGUUAGUGCAAUCUUUUCUCUUCACUACAACCGCAUUGAUUUACUUUAAUAGCAUGUUACUAGGUACAUCAAUUGAUGAGAAAAAGCAGCAAAACGCUUUAAAUUUGUUGUAGUCUUAAAAUUAAAGUUGGAAGUUUCCUAAAAAGGGAAUUUUAGAACACUCCUUCAACUGACAUGCACGGAUGUUAUACUUAUGAAUUUCCAUACAUUAAUGUCUUUGUAAUGCAUGUUACCAAACAAAAAAAAGUAUCAUCAACCAUUCUUGUCAUUUCCUGUGCAAUUAUUUUCACAUCCUGGCUUAACAGUACAUAAACAGUGCUCUUUUAUUUUCAAUAUUUCAGAAAAAUGCAUUUGCAUUAUGAUACAUGCAGGUAUAGUUGGUCAAGUAAGAAUAUAUUUACAGCAUGCUCACUAUGAAUUGAUUAAAUCGCCAUUGAAUCUAAAAGGUAUGUUAUACCUCAUUGUAUAUUCAGAAGGAAAAGUGUGAGGAUAGCUUAAAAAAAAAAAAAAUCAUGAGUAUCCAUAAUGAUGUGAAUAUGUACAUGUUUGUUUGUUGCAUAUGAUUCUUCCUUGGUAUCAAAGCUGUAAUAAUUGCAUAUUUAUGAUUCAGCAUAAUACUUUGUUCAUUACAAAAAAAAAUAUGUCAUAAUUUUCCAAAACGGUAGUGUAAAGAAUAAUGUAAGAUUGAGGUAAGAUUGUUACAUAUAUUCUCUAUACGUAUCAACUAAAAUGUAAGUUUUCAAAUGAGAUACUAUUUUGUCCCCAGAUGAAAUAAGUAAUGGAUCUUUUUUGUUAAAUGUCAGCAAAUGAUCUAAAUGAACAUGUGUUCGGGUAUAUCAAAUCUUGUACAUGUAGUUUCUAUAGCUAAUAUAGUUUGGAGGACUUAAAGAUAGAAAAACUGCUGAUUGAUUAAUUACCAUUGUUUGUAUUGUUCACUAUAACCAGCAAGUAAAGGGACAUUUAGUAGAUGCCAAGAAAGUAUUUCCAAAGCAAUUACAUUUCUCUUAUCCUGUAAUGUAUUUUUUGCGUCAAUAAAAGCAAAUGUGAGGGUUGUCCACAUAACAUCACAACUACAGAACAGUUUAAUUGAAAUUAACAUACAUAUUACAUGUAUAUAUGUGUAUUAUGGAAUAACUUAGAAUAUUUCAUAAUUUGUUAUUAUUAUCCAGUUCAUUACAUUUUUACCAAUGUAUUUCUUCAAUAUUUCUACUUUUCCUCAGAGCAUAUGCUGUGAACUAAUGGAUAUUCCUUGUCAGUUCCAUCAUGUUAUGUCAAUGGGCUUACACUGUAUGCGUGUACAUGUCCUUUUUGCAAUGUACAUGUGCUACGAAAAUGUCAACAAUAUUGUUUGAGAUAUAAAAUAUAGAGUUAACAAGUGAAUUAUUCA
rnacentral:lncRNA from 1 species